GAAGAUGUAAGAAUAAAGCUUUGCCGCAGAAGAUUCUGGUCUGUGGUGUUCUUCCUGGCCGGUCGUGAGAACGCGUCUAAUAACAAGGGCCCUCAGAUCUUUGUUCUCAUUUCCUUCCUGCACAGCCCCCCUUCCUGACUCCCCUUCCGGUUUGUAAGUUUCGGAGAAACUCUUGCUUUCAAGGGGCUUCCUCAGGGGGUGAACUAGAAACAGGAGACUCCAGAGCUGUCCCACGGGACCACUGCAGGCAGACUACAGGGUAACACAAGGCCAAAUGAUCUUCAGGGGGAGCGGCAAAAUCCCAUCUCUGGAAAUGUCAACUGCACCGAGGAGAAGGAUCGUCCGGAGUGCACUGGAGCAAGGAGGAGGGUUUCACGACCCCUAAAGCCCUUUGUAACCCCAGAUGCCAUCCCCCAGAUGAAAACAGUGAAGCCAGAGGUGGUGAGGAAAUGGAGAUGCCAAAAGAGAGGCAGAUGGGGAGGGGGGUCCCCGCAGAGUUCUCUUCUGCUUUCCGGUUUCCCUGGAGGGCUGGCUCUAGCUUCUCUGCCUGCCUCUGUCAAUUUCCAUCAGUGUCCGAUUUCACUUGAUAAGGAAGCAGAGGGAGGGGGAGGGGGCCUCACCAGGCUCUGCAGGGAACAGUAAUGGCCCUGAAGCAGAAACAGGUGCUCCCUUCCUCGAUGUCAACGCUUCCGGCCCCAUCCCGGGCCAUACAAUAACAGCGGGGA
rnacentral:lncRNA from 1 species